UGGGGAAUAUUGCACAAUGGGGGGAACCCUGAUGCAGCAACGCCGCGUGAAGGAAGAAGGGUUUUCGGCUCGUAAACUUCUAUCAAUAGGGACGAAAUAAAUGACGGUACCUAAAUAAGAAGCCCCGGCUAACUACGUGCCAGCAGCCGCGGUAAUACGUAGGGGGCAAGCGUUAUCCGGAAUUACUGGGUGUAAAGGGAGAGUAGGCGGCAUGGUAAGCAAGAUGUGAAAGCCUUAGGCUUAACUUGAGGAUUGCAUUUUGAACUAUCAAAGCUAGAGUACAGGAGAGGUAAGCGGAAUUCCUAGUGUAGCGGUGAAAUGCGUAGAUAUUAGGAAGAACACCAGUGGCGAAGGCGGCUUACUGGACUGAAACUGACGCUGAGGCUCGAAAGCGU
rnacentral:rRNA from 1 species